rnacentral:rRNA from 1 species
GAGUUUGAUCCUGGCUCAGAUUGAACGCUGGCGGCAGGCCUAACACAUGCAAGUCGAGCGGAUGACGGGAGCUUGCUCCUUGAUUCAGCGGCGGACGGGUGAGUAAUGCCUAGGAAUCUGCCUGGUAGUGGGGGACAACGUUUCGAAAGGAACGCUAAUACCGCAUACGUCCUACGGGAGAAAGCAGGGGACCUUCGGGCCUUGCGCUAUCAGAUGAGCCUAGGUCGGAUUAGCUAGUUGGUGGGGUAAUGGCUCACCAAGGCGACGAUCCGUAACUGGUCUGAGAGGAUGAUCAGUCACACUGGAACUGAGACACGGUCCAGACUCCUACGGGAGGCAGCAGUGGGGAAUAUUGGACAAUGGGCGAAAGCCUGAUCCAGCCAUGCCGCGUGUGUGAAGGAGGUCUUCGGAUUGUAAAGCACUUUAAAGUUGGGAGGAAGGGCAGUAAGUUAAUACCUUGCUGUUUUGACGUUACCGACAGAAUAAGCACCGGCUAACUCUGUGCCAGCAGCC